rnacentral:rRNA from 1 species
AUGCGGGAUACGAGUUAUCUGAACCUUCGGGGAACGAUAACGGCGUCGAGCGGCGGACGGGUGAGUAAUGCCUAGGAAAUUGCCCUGAUGUGGGGGAUAACCAUUGGAAACGAUGGCUAAUACCGCAUGAUGCCUACGGGCCAAAGAGGGGGACCUUCGGGCCUCUCGCGUCAGGAUAUGCCUAGGUGGGAUUAGCUAGUUGGUGAGGUAAGGGCUCACCAAGGCGACGAUCCCUAGCUGGUCUGAGAGGAUGAUCAGCCACACUGGAACUGAGACACGGUCCAGACUCCUACGGGAGGCAGCAGUGGGGAAUAUUGCACAAUGGGCGCAAGCCUGAUGCAGCCAUGCCGCGUGUAUGAAGAAGGCCUUCGGGUUGUAAAGUACUUUCAGUCGUGAGGAAGGCGGCGUCGUUAAUAGCGGCGUUGUUUGACGUUAGCGACAGAAGAAGCACCGGCUAACUCCGUGCCAGCAGCCGCGGUAAUACGGAGGGUGCGAGCGUUAAUCGGAAUUACUGGGCGUAAAGCGCAUGCAGGUGGUUUGUUAAGUCAGAUGUGAAAGCCCGGGGCUCAACCUCGGAAUAGCAUUUGAAACUGGCAGACUAGAGUACUGUAGAGGGGGGUAGAAUUUCAGGUGUAGCGGUGAAAUGCGUAGAGAUCUGAAGGAAUACCGGUGGCGAAGGCGGCCCCCUGGACAGAUACUGACACUCAGAUGCGAAAGCGUGGGGAGCAAACAGGAUUAGAUACCCUGGUAGUCCACGCCGUAAACGAUGUCUACUUGGAGGUUGUGGCCUUGAGCCGUGGCUUUCGGAGCUAACGCGUUAAGUAGACCGCCUGGGGAGUACGGUCGCAAGAUUAAAACUCAAAUGAAUUGACGGGGGCCCGCACAAGCGGUGGAGCAUGUGGUUUAAUUCUAUGCAACGCGAAGAACCUUACCUACUCUUGACAUCCAGAGAACUUUCCCAAAAUGGAUUGGUGCCCUCCGGAACUCUUAAAAAAGUGCUG